CAGAGAUCAGACCGGAACCCGAGAAGCUUCACCACCAACAGCAGUAUCUGUGGACUCAGAUCAUGCCACUUCCUUGCUUGAGACCCUCCAGUGCUUUCGAUUUGCACCAGGUGUCGCACGGAGCCCUCUGUGGAGCCUGCAAGCGCCUGUGUGACCCAGACCUGGCUGACGUCCUCAAUUUCUUUCGAGCCACACCCCCUGCCCACCCUGCCCCACCACCCUGGCUUUUCAGUUCCUCAAAGACGCCGUCUGUCUCCUUGGCUCAUUUACAAGCUCCACAUGGCAGUGGCUAGGCUGUUUGACCUCCACGGAGCCUGAGAUGAGGCACAACACAUGUAGGUGUUCAGCUACAGCACCAAGUUCCAAGAAAGGAGGUGGAAAAAGGGUGUCCCCAGAGUUUCCCAGGAGUCUGAAGGAUGCCCCUUGCCCUCAAAAAUCCUAGAAAGUCACUGCUCUUCAACAGUGGGCAGGUCUGGAACGAGAUGACGUGAGCCCUAAUCCUUUCUCCCCAGCUUGCUGGCCUCGGGGCUUUGACGAGUCAUUUUACCUCCCUUGCUUCAGUUUUUCCAAACAAAAGAUCCUAUACUACUGCUCGGAGUAUUGUUGUCGGUGACUUCAGCGGCCUUGCCUCCUUUUAGCUGCUGCUUACCCGCAGCUACGGCCAGACCCAGCCAGGAAGAAAGAAGCACAAGGACGAGUGCGGGGAUGAGGCCGACCCAACAGAGGACCAGGUCAGCUUUGCUCCAAAGCUCUGUAAUCCCCCCUCAGAAUCUUUCCUCGCAUCAGUGUGACUAGGGGCCCAUGGAGUGCCGGCCAGGUGCAACAAGCCCCAGCCCUCUGGCUGCCAUUGCCCAAAGCCACCUUGGAAAUGACAGCCCCUGUGAAGUUAGCCUUGCUCUCCUGGACACGUGCUGCAGAGGAGGGACACGGCAGGUGGCACAGACAUGCGGUUUCUCAGCCACCCCUCAGAGCUGUGUCUCUUCUGCACAAUGCAAGAAAAGUGGGGACUCUCAUCAGCGUGGUGGCAAAGGGCACAGGUCAGGCCAAAGAAGUGGGUGCACAGAGCAACUGUCCACUCUUUCUUUGCCUGUCCUGGUGUUACAAAGACUUGGCUAAUGUUCUUAGUGCUGAGAACUGCGUCUUCAUCUUGGGCUUUCUCCAUUACCCCCAACCCUGCUCUGCUCAGAUGGCUGACCUGGGGAAUUUGUUCAGUGCAGAACAAACAGAACUGUAUUUUGUAUUCGAUCAUCGGCAGCAAGAAUGGCUUCUCACUGCCCUCUGGCCCGUGACACCAGAAGCAAGACCAGGCACCAGUCUACGAAACAUGAAGGCCAGUUGUCUCACCCAGACAUACAGACUUCAGGCUAGAAGGGCAUGGGAUCCCCCUCACUGUGUGGUUGGGAAUCCCAAGGCUCAGAAGCAAUCCCAUCAAGGUCCCCAGCUUGUUUUGUGUGGGACAAGCAUCACUCUUGGAUGUUUGGCAGGGCUGUCAGCUUAAUGAGGUAAAAGCUGGUUUAUCCUGAAUUGUAAUUAUUAAAAAGGGCGAUUUAAAAGUCA